GACGAACGCUGGCGGCGUGCUUAACACAUGCCAGUCGAACGGAAAGGCCCUGCUUUUGUGGGGUGCUCGAGUGGCGAACGGGUGAGUAACACGUGAGUAACCUGCCCUUGACUGUGGGAUAACUUCAGGAAACUGGGGCUAAUACCGGAUAGGAGCUCCUGCUGCAUGGUGGGGGUUGGAAAGUUUCGGCGGUUGGGGAUGGACUCGCGGCUUAUCAGCUUGUUGGUGGGGUAGUGGCUUACCAAGGCUUUGACGGGUAGCCGGCCUGAGAGGGUGGCCGGCCACAUUGGGACUGAGAGACGGCCCAGACUCCUACGGGAGGCAGCAGUGGGGAAUAUUGCACAAUGGGCGGAAGCCUGAUGCAGCAACGCCGCGUGCGGGAUGACGGCCUUCGGGUUGUAAACCGCUUUCGCCUGUGACGAAGCGUGAGUGACGGUAAUGGGUAAAGAAGCACCGGCUAACUACGUG
rnacentral:rRNA from 1 species